UUCCUGAUUUUUUUUUUCGAAAAUUGGUUUAGUAAAGUAAUUAAGCUUUAGCUUCACUUGGGUGUGUGAAUGCUCAAUAUGAAGCAAGUGGAUUUUGAAUUCUCUUGUGAUGGUACGGUUACGUCAGUUUCAACAUGUACAUUAAGCAGGUUGUGAUUGAAGGUUUUAAGAGUUACAAAGAGCAAAUUGCAACAGAGCCUUUCAGUCCUAAAGUUAAUUGUGUUGUUGGUGCUAAUGGAUCCGGGAAGUCAAACUUUUUCCAUGCCAUUCGUUUUGUGUUGAGUGAUCUCUAUCAGAACCUACGCAAUGAGGAUCGACAUUCAUUACUCCAUGUAUGGCAUUGUGCAUAUUUCUUCAUUCCUACCGCUGGUUCUGAUGUUUUAUUAUUCAAUUUUAGAACCUGGGCAGCAUGCUUUGUUGAUUUAUUCUCUGUACAGGAAGGGGCUGGGCACCAGGUUGUAUCUGCGUUUGUGGAGAUUGUGUUUGACAAUUCAGACAACCGUAUUCCGGUUGACAAGGAGGAAGUGCGUUUGCGCCGGACUAUUGGUUUGAAGAAGGAUGAGUAUUUUUUAGAUGGAAAACACAUAACAAAAACUGAAGUGAUGAAUUUACUGGAAAGUGCUGGGUUCUCUCGCUCAAAUCCUUACUAUGUUGUGCAGCAAGGAAAGAUAUCGUCACUAACAUUGAUGAAAGACUCAGAACGACUGGAUUUAUUGAAAGAAAUUGGUGGUACUAGAGUUUAUGAGGAGAGACGUCGUGAAAGUCUGAAAAUUAUGCAGGAAACUGGUAACAAAAGAAAACAAAUAAUUCAAGUUGUACAGUAUCUAGAUGAGAGGUUGAAGGAAUUGGAUGAGGAGAAAGAGGAACUACGGAAAUAUCAGCAGCUUGACAAGCAGAGAAAAUCUUUGGAAUAUAGCAAAGAAGUUCAAGAUGCUCAACAAAAACUUAUGGAGAUAGAAGAAGCCCGAGCCAAGGUUUCUGAAACAUCUGCAAAAAAGUAUAAUGAUGUGCUUGAUGCCCAUGAGAAAAUCAAAGAUUUAGAGAAUACAUUGAAAGAUGUUGCAAAAGAACUUCAAAACUCUAACAAAGAGAAAGAAAGUAUAGAAAAGAGACGUACAAAGGCUUUAAAGAAGCACACAGAGCUUGAGCUUGAUGUCAAGGACCUACAAGAGAAGAUUACUGAAAAUAUUCGAGCAAAGGAAGACGCUGCAAGACAACUGAAGAUACUUGAGAGAAACAUUCAAGAUUCGAAUGAUGAGCUGGAGAGAAUCAGACCUAUGUAUGAGGAACAAGUUAUGGAAGAAAAAGAAAUCACCAAGCAAAUAAUGGAGCGUGAGAAACAGCUCAGUAUACUCUACCAAAAGCAAGGGCGUGCAACCCAGUUUUCGAGUAAAGCUGCUCGUGACAAGUGGCUUCGCAAGGAGAUAGAAGAUCUUGAACGAGUGCUUUCCUCAAACUCAGGGCAGGAAAAAAUGCUCUUGGAGGAAAUUGGUCGUCUUAAAGGUGAAAUGGAUGGCUGUGAUGAGACCAUUGAGAAAUGUAGAUCUCAGAUUACUACUUUGCAAUCUCACAUUGACCAGUCACGGCAAGGGUUUAAUAAUUAUAAAGUUCAAAGAGAUAAGUUGCAGGAUAAGAGGAAGUCCUUGUGGGACAAAGAAAAUACACUUACUGCUGAAAUUGAUAAGCUGAGAGCUGAAGUUGAGAAGGCUGAAAAGAGCUUUGAUCACGCAAUUCCCGGUGAUGUCAGAAGGGGGAUGAACUCAGUUAGGAAAAUCUGCAGGGAGUAUAACAUUUCUGGCAUUUAUGGUCCAAUCAUUGAGUUGCUGAAUUGUGAAGAGAAAUUCUUCACAGCAGUUGAAGUUACUGCAGGAAACAGCUUAUUCCAUGUGGUUGUUGAAAAUGAUGACACGUCAACCCAGAUAAUUAGACAUCUUAACGCACAUAAAGGUGGACGAGUUACGUUUAUCCCACUUAACAGAGUGAGGGCACCACGCAUUACUUAUCCCCAGAGUUCUGGUGUCAUCCCUCUCUUAAAGAAAUUGAAUUUUAAACAUGACUAUAACCCUGCAUUCAGUCAGGUAUUUGGCCGAACGGUUGUGUGCAAGAAUUUGGAUGUGGCUUCAAGGGUUGCCAGGACUGAUGGUCUUGACUGCAUAACACUGGAUGGUGAUCAAGUUAGCAAGAAAGGUAGUAUGACGGGAGGAUUUUAUGAUCACAGACGAUCAAAAUUGGAGUUUAUGAAUAUCAUUAAGCAAAAUGAAGAUGAAAUUCACUCAAAAGAGGAGGAAUUGAUGAAAGUUAGAUCUGACCUGCAAGAGAUAGACCAAAAGAUCACAGAACUUGUUUCCGAGCAGCAGAAGAUUGAGGCUGAGUGUGCUCAUGGAAAAUCAGAAAUGGAACAAUUUAAGCAGGACAUUGCAAAUGCUAACAAGCAGAAGCAAUUGAUUUCUAAGGCACUUUCAAAAAAGGAAAAGUCACUUCUUGAUGUCCAGAAUCAGAUUGAACAGCUUAAGGCUAGUAUGGCAAUGAAAACAGCCGAGAUGGGCACGGAACUAAUUGACCAUUUAACACCAGAGGAAAAGAAGCUUUUGUCUGAUUUGAAUCCCGAAAUCAAGGAACUUAAAGAGCAGCUUGUUGCAUGCAAGACUGAUCGUAUCGAGACGGAAGCACGGAAAGCGGAGCUGGAAACUAAUCUAACAACAAACCUGAGGAGAAGAAAGCAAGAGUUGGAAGCUGUAAUAUCAUCUGCUGAUGAUGACACUCUGGGUGUAGAUGCUGGAUUGAAGGCGCAGGAACUUAGCGAUGCUAAAUUGUUAGUUGAUGAUGCAACGGAGCAGCUUAGUAGAGUCUCUAAUAGUAUAAGUGCACGAUCAAAGGAAAUUAAACAGAUCAAAGAAGAAAUCAAUAAGUUGAAGUCUUUGGAGGAUGAGUAUGAAAGAAAACUUCAGGAAGAAACAAAAGAAUUAGAGCAGUUGCUGAGUAAAAAAAAUAUAUAUUCUGCUAAAGAAGAGGAAUAUGCAAAGAAAAUAAGGGAACUGGGCCCAUUGACAUCAGAUGCAUUUGAGACGUACAAAAGGAGGAAUAUCAAAGAAUUGCAUAAAGCGUUGCACAGGUGCAAUGAUCAACUGCAGCAGUUCAGUCAUGUAAACAAGAAAGCGCUUGACCAGUAUAUAAAUUUGACAGAACAACGAGAGGAACUUCAGAAAAGGCAAGCUGAACUUGAUGCAGGAGAUGAGAAAAUUAGAGAGCUAAUAUCUGUACUUGAUCAACGGAAGGAUGAAUCAAUAGAGCGCACUUUCAAAGGUGUUGCUUGGCAUUUUCAAAAAGUGUUUUCUGAACUCGUACCGGGGGGUCAUGGUCUUCUGUUUAUGAUGAAGAAGAAGGAGGGUGGUCACGAUGAUGAUGAGGAUGAUGAGGUUGGUCCUCGUGAAGCAAACCCAGAGGGUAGAGUAGAAAAGUACAUUGGAGUGGAAGUGAAGGUUUCUUUUACUGGACAAGGAAAGACACAGUCCAUGAAGCAGUUGUCUGGGGGUCAAAAGACUGUAGUUGCUCUUACACUUAUCUUUGCCAUACAACGAUGUGAUCCUGCUCCGUUUUAUCUAUUUGAUGAGAUUGAUGCGGCUCUGGAUCCACGAUACAGAACUGCUGUUGGAAGUAUCCAUUUUAUUACUCUUGCUAUCUUAUUUUCAUGGCAAUUAACUGGUUGUGAUUCCUCAGUCACUUGUAUUGCAUCUGUGGUUCAAUAAAAUUUUAUAGUGCUUAUAUAAUAGUCAUCUUGUGACCAUCUCCUCUAAAUACUAAAGCUGUUACUUGCAUGGUUCUUUGACAGCUAAAAAGGCUUAUCCUACUAGGUAUUGCUGUUAAACGUACCUAAGCACCAAGAUACAGGUUAAGUUCUUGCAUUAAGUGCUUCUAGUAGAAGGAAAUGCAGGUACAUAACUACAUACACAUUAAAAUUUACAGUUUUACAUGAGAAAUACAAUUUCAAGUGAAUUUCAAAGGGCAGUGCUUCAUCUUUCAUUUGGAGAAAUCUAUUUUAGCCUUGGUCUUGUUGCAUUGGUGAGGCUUUAUUACUUCGUAAAUUACAUUUUUGUUUCAAAAUAUAAUUUUUUUUUAUUGAAUAUAUAUAAUAUAAAGUUCAAAUUUAUCCAUGCUUGCAAUCAAUGUGCUUUGGAGGAGGCAGUUGGGAAAUGUUUAGAUUCAGAUAUGGGCUUUUGGUGAUAUUUAAAUUUAACAAUUAUUGUGCUUGCCUUAUUGACUGAUAUCAAGAUUCCAUUUUAUAUUGUUGUCUUGGGAUCCUUAACUUCCGUAGAUAUGAUCCGCUGUCUGGCAGACUUUUCAACCACACAAUUUAUCACAACAACAUUCCGCCCAGAGCUUGUGACAGUUGCUGACAAGAUCUAUGAAGUAACGCAUAAAAGCCGGGUUAGCCGUGUUAAUGUUGUAUCC